UGCUGAUUUCAGGGCAAAGAUAACGGUCUCUGGCCUCAGGAGGCUGUGUCCAGCCCAGGAGCAGUACCAAAUGCAGGAAAAAGAGACAAAACGUGUCCCAACCUAAUUAACCCCUCUUCCUCUCCCUUUCAUGAGCAGGAUGUGUUUGUGCAGACAAUACUGUGGGCUCUUUCCUCAGUGGUCAAAGCAGCUCAGAUGUCAGUGCUGUUUUGCUGGGGAUAAGACAGCGACUCAGGGCAUCCUCUCUGCAUCGAUGUCUGCCAUGGUUAGCCAGGUCACUCCUGCCCUCAACAGCUACGUGCCAUACUGGCCAGGUCUGGGGGGAUGUGCAGCUAUGAUGGGAGCAGCAGCCUGGCUGUGCUGGCUGGCUCCUGCUCUUACUGCAGACCCCAGCACCAGAGGCCAGAACAAAAUUGAUAAGGAAGGAACAAAAAUGACUCCCUAAAACUAACACCUUGAAGUUACUAUCUAAAGGCUAGAGCUGGCAGUUCUCUUUCCUAGUAAGAGUCUUGGCUUAGUAAACAGCUGCCACAAAAAAGGACCCUGUUUGGGUCCUCUGAGCCACUUGUGACCCCAGAUUGGCAUCCAGAAAUAACCCUUCUUCCCUACUUGGGGCUUUAAGUUAUUUUUCCACUUCUUUGUCUGUUCAGCUUUCUGUGAGACCUAAGCACUGCGCAGUCACGCUGGGGACCAUACUCUAACUCAUCCGUUGACGAUGCCAGCAAAACGUGAACUGCUGCACUUUCAGCUUGGGAAACAGGCACUACAGAACUACGAGCAAGACUGAGGAAUCGAUGCCAAACUUUAACCACAGACAGGCACGAACUUAGUGAACCUGGCAUUUUCCUCAGCCACUUCAAACAAGCCCACUUUUCAAGUAGGAUUUUUACUACAUGAAAGGU